rnacentral:sRNA from 1 species
AAUUUGCGUAAGGGAUUGAAGUGGAAAUCCUUUUUAUUUUUUUUAAUAAAAAGAUUGUAACGAAAAGCCCGACCCGAA